rnacentral:rRNA from 1 species
GAUGAACGCUGGCGGUAUGCUUAACACAUGCAAGUCGAACGGACUCUUCGGAGUUAGUGGCGGACGGGUGAGUAACGCGUGAGAAUCUGGCUUUGGGUUCGGGACAACCACUGGAAACGGUGGCUAAUACCGGAUGUGCCGAGAGGUAAAAGAGAAAUUGCCUGCAGAUGAGCUCGGGUCUGAUUAGCUAGUUGGUGAGGUAAAGGCUCACCAAGGCAGCGAUCAGUAGCUGGUGUGAGAGGAUGACCAGCCACACUGGGACUGAGACACGGCCCAGACUCAUACGGGAGGCAGGAGUGGGGAAUUUUCCGCAAUGGGCGAAAGCCUGACGGAGAAAUACCGCGUGAGGGAAGAAGGCUCUUGGGGUGUAAAGCUUUUUUCUUAGGGAAGAACAAAAUGACGGUACCUAAGGAAGCAGCAUCGGCUAACUACGUG